AGCGAACGCUGGCGGCAGGCUUAACACAUGCAAGUCGAGCGGGCAUCCUUGUGGUGUCAGCGGCAGACGGGUGAGUAACGCGUGGGAACGUGCCCUUCGGUUCGGAAUAACUCAGGGAAACUUGAGCUAAUACCGGAUACGUGCGAGAGCAGAAAGGUUUAUCUGCCGAAGGAUCGGCCCGCGUCUGAUUAGCUAGUUGGUGAGGUUAUGGCUCACCAAGGCGACGAUCAGUAGCUGGUCUGAGAGGAUGAUCAGCCACACUGGGACUGAGACACGGCCCAGACUUCUACGGGAGGCAGCAGUGGGGAAUAUUGGACAAUGGGGGCAACCCUGAUCCAGCCAUGCCGCGUGAGUGAUGACGGCCUUAGGGUUGUAAAGCUCUUUUCUUCGGGACGAUAAUGACGGUACCGGAGGAAUAAGCCCCGGCUAACUUCGUG
rnacentral:rRNA from 1 species